rnacentral:rRNA from 1 species
CAGUCGCCGCGGUAAUACGAAGGGUGCAAGCGUUAAUCGGAAUUACUGGGCGUAAAGCGUGCGUAGGUGGUGGUUUAAGUCCGUUGUGAAAGCCCUGGGCUCAACCUGGGAAUUGCAGUGGAUACUGGGUCACUAGAGUGUGGUAGAGGAUAGUGGAAUUUCCGGUGUAGCAGUGAAAUGCGUAGAGAUCGGAAGGAACAUCUGUGGCGAAGGCGACUAUCUGGGCCAACACUGACACUGAGGCACGAAAGCGUGGGGAGCAAACAGGAUUAGAGACCCCGGUAGUCCCUGUCUCUUAUAC